rnacentral:rRNA from 1 species
GAUACCCUGGUAGUCCACGCAGUAAGCGAUGAGAACUAAUUGUCCGGAGCGAGUGAGCUCUGGGUGAUACAGCGAACAGCGUUAAGUGCUCCACCUGGGGAGUACGCCGGCAACGGUGAAACUCAAAGGAAUUUGACGGGGCCGCACAAGCGGAGGACAUGUGGUUUAAUUCGAUGAUACGCGAGGAACCUUACCCGGGCUCAAACGGCACAGUGAUACUUUUUGAAGGAGGUAGCUCUACGGAGACUGUGCCGAGGUGCUGCAUGGUGUCGUCAGCUCGUGCCGUGAGGUGUCGGCUUAAGUGCCAUAACGAGCGCAACCCCUAUUGUCAGUUGCCAGCGGUAAAGCUGGGGACUCUGACGAGACUGCCGGCGCACGCUGAGAGGAAGGGCGGGAUGACGUCAAAUCAGCACGGCCCUUACGUCCGGGGCGACACACGUGUUACAAUGGCAGGCACA